rfam:Glossina pallidipes unplaced genomic scaffold Scaffold76, whole genome shotgun sequence.
CUAUCGGUUUUAUUAAAAACCCCAUCAUACUUGAGAAAUUAAUGUUU